AAGGAAAAGAGGUGGGAAGGAAAGUAAGAGAGGGAAGGAAUAUAAGAGAGGGAAAGAAGGUGGGCAAGUAGUGCAUCUGUAGAUACUGUACGUAUCUUUGCAAGUUAUCUGCAAACUCAUUUGAUCGUAAAUAACAUUUAUGGGUUGUCAUGAUCUAAGGAAAUGGAUGCUCACUGGAAAUAAUGGAGGUAGAAGGGACAGUAGGUAGGGAAUAGAUGGGACCUUAGUAAUCAUGCUGCAUAAUCUUAUCUGCCAACAAAAUCAACCGGCUUUACCUACGUGGACAGGCCACCUUACUUAGCCCGGAAAAGGAAUGUGUGAUCAAUAAAUAGCCAAAUGCCUCCUCAUCCAAUUAGUGAUGUGCAUGAAUGGAUGAAUGAGAUUCCCACUGUCCCUGCUCACCAGCCAGAGAAACCACAGCCAGGAGAACAGGCUUGGUGGAACCAGCAGGGAAAGAUGACCCUGUUGAGCACAACUCUAGCCUGGCACUGUGAAGAGACAUCAGAGGUGUAAAUGGGAGGCCUCGCGGCUGUAUAACUCACGCCAUGGCCCAGACGCCAGUGCAAAGCUACUGAUCAUUUUUUCCACUUCCCCAGUGAGGUGGGGGCAUGGGGGAGCCCCAAAGGGCUCUCACUUCUGAUGCGAAGUGCCUGGCAUGACCUGCCCCAGGGACAGUGUCAGGUGGAGGUAGUAGGGCAGUAGACCUGUCAAACCGUAACACGGGCGUCCUGAGGUGAGCUCACGGAGGACAGAAACCUCCUGCAGAACAGAAGAUCGAGGCUUCAUCUUGAUUUUCAGAACAAAUGUUGUCCAUGAAAGCAGGGCCUCAUGAUCCUUCUGAAUUUGGGUUUUAAGCUGGCAUCCAGGAGACAGUGGAUGAGGAACUCCAGGCCUAAGUCUCCACAUGAGGAACUCCGGCAUCUAGGAUGUUCUGCUCUGUCCAACAACCUGGAGAAUGCAGGCUGUUCCUGCAAGGACUAGUCACACAGGAGAAGAUGAGGCUGUCUGGGCAUCCCCACCACACCUCUCCCACUAGUGGCCUUGAGGAGAGAGCCCAGACAGGUGUCACCCUCUGGUUGUGG
rnacentral:ncRNA from 1 species